GCAUAUUCUACAAGAAGGGAGAUACAUGUGAGAUGAGUGGGUAUUGUGAUGUCGACUAUGUCGGAGACCAUGAUACACGAAGAUCAACUUCUGAAAGUAUGUUCUGUAACACCCAGCCCAAUUGGGCCCAGAAUCAGCCCACAGCCCAUACAAAAAAAAUAAGGGAGAAGACUCCCGAAAUGAGUCUUCUUCCUCCGUUCAAUGGCUCCCAA
rnacentral:lncRNA from 1 species